rnacentral:rRNA from 1 species
CAGUAGCCGCGGUAAUACGGAGGAUCCAAGCGUUAUCCGGAAUCAUUGGGUUUAAAGGGUCCGUAGGCGGUCUUGCAAGUCAGUGGUGAAAGCCCAUCGCUCAACGGUGGAACGGCCAUUGAUACUGCAGGACUUGAAUUAUUGGGAAGUAACUAGAAUAUGUAGUGUAGCGGUGAAAUGCUUAGAGAUUACAUGGAAUACCAAUUGCGAAGGCAGGUUACUACCAAUUGAUUGACGCUGAUGGACGAAAGCGUGGGUAGCGAACAGGAUUAGAUACCCCGGUAGUCCCUGUCUCUUAUAC